UCACGUGUCUUCUAUGGUUAGUGUGAAGGAAAAUUUGUUUAGACUCCCAAGAAAGGUGUUAAAACUCCAGUAGCAGCAAAGAAGAAGAAUGUAAGUUGUAAUCUCCAAGUGUUGUUAGUAUUUUGAUUAGAAAAAUGAUGUGAAGUUUAGCCAGAUGUUGUAUUCUCAUGUCUCUUAAAAGCUUAUCAUGUAUUAUUAGUAUUUUUCUGUG